UACGUAGGGGGCAAGCGUUGUCCGGAUUUACUGGGCGUAAAGCGUGCGCAGGCGGUCUUUUAAGUCAGAUGUGAAAUCCCCGGGCUCAACCUGGGAACUGCAUUUGUGACUGCACGGCUGGAGUGCGGCAGAGGGGGAUGGAAUUCCGCGUGGUAGCAGGUGAAAUGCGUAGAUAUGCGGAGGAACACCGAUGGCGAAGGCAAUCCCCUGGGCC
rnacentral:rRNA from 1 species